CACUACCCGUGUGCCAGCGAUGCAGGU
rnacentral:piRNA from 1 species